ensembl:misc_RNA Metazoa_SRP Metazoan signal recognition particle RNA
GCCGGGUGUGGUAGUGCGCACCUGUAGUCCCAGCUACUCAGGAGGCUGAGAUGGGAGGAUGGUUUGAGCCCGGGAUGCAGAGGCUGCAGUGAGCUGAGAUCAUACCACUGAACUUCAGCCUGGGUGACAGAGCCAGACCCUGUCUCAA